rnacentral:rRNA from 1 species
UACGGAGGGGGCUAGCGUUGUUCGGAAUUACUGGGCGUAAAGCGCACGUAGGCGGCUUUGUAAGUUAGAGGUGAAAGCCCAGGGCUCAACCCUGGAAUUGCCUUUAAGACUGCAUCGCUUGAACAUCGGAGAGGUAAGUGGAAUUCCGAGUGUAGAGGUGAAAUUCGUAGAUAUCGGAAGAACACCAGUGGCGAAGGCGACUCACUGGACAGGUAUUGACGCUGAGGUGCGAAAGCGUGGGGAGCAAACAGG